rnacentral:lncRNA from 10 species
GUAGAAUCUAAACAAUGCAAUUGGAGAUACAUACACAUGUGGACAAUUAUGGCCAUAAUAUACACAAAAUUCACGGUUUCAUGGAAGGGAGGAAUGGGAUCUUGGAAGAACACAAAGAUAGCUUCUCAACUUGAGUGCGAUGUUGGGGAAGCAGCCCACGGCUGAUCUAGAGGCUCAACACCGUCACCAAGACCAGGCCCCAUGAGUAGUCCUGCCCCGCCGUCCUCAGAGUGAGGCUCCUGUGCUGGGAUCACAGGAUGGCUGCUGUGCUCCCAGCAUUUCCAGGGGCCAAGAUGGGAGGAAGAAGAUGGACGGCAGAGGAAGGACAGAGGCCAAAGGCACAAGCGAGCAUUGUCAGAUCACCAAAAAGAUUUUUUUGCUUUAAGCCCCACCCCUAGUGACUUCUGAUUCCAUCCAAACACCCAAAAUUGGGUCAUAUGUCCCCCGCUUAGCUAUUAAGGUAUCUGUAGAGUUAGAUACUUUUCAGUAGGUAUUGACAUACAAGGGUGCUCUUAGGAAGUAGAGAAGAAUGAACAUUGACUAAGCAAUUAGCUGUUUCUGCCACAAUGUUGUGAUUUUACUGACUUUUAUUGCUUGUGGUAGAACCUUACAUUGCAUGGACUGGUUCUGGAUUUCUUCUAUUUCACGUACACAGGAAGGAUACUUCCACACUCCCUUGAAGUCAGGCACAACCAGUGCCUGCCUGCAGCUAAUGAAGGGUGGGCAGAAACGAUGUGUGUAGCUCCCAGGCUGAAGUACCUAAUGCAGUGCCUGACUGAGCCCUGCCUUCCCCACCACAGCAAUCAUGGAAAUAAGUGUCAAGUUGGAGCGGUCUUAGAGUGAUAAAUACAAGCCAAGCUCUCCCACAACCCACAGUAGAUGGAGCACUUGAGCAAGAAGCAAACCUUUGUUCUUUUAGCCCCCAGGACUUGGGGCUUGUUUGUUAUCAUCAAACCUGGCCUAUCCUGACUGGUACAAAUUGGCAGUAAUUUCUCCAGUGUCCUCAAUUAAAUGCUCAGACACUGCCAGCUUCUGCACGUGAUUCUUGGUUCAGCCCCUUAGGUUCCCAUGCUGUGGAAAUUCCCCCAGGAUUCUGAAG